AUGCAUUCAGAGUGGGGCCUUCCUGCCCUGCUGAACCUGAGUGGGAUCCAAAAUGAACUGAGCGCACAUCCAAAAAUGUGUGAGCAUGCGCACAUGCACACGUCUUAGAGGGAACAGUGAAGAGGACUCUGUCUGAAUUCAAGAUGAUCCCCUGAUAUCUAACAUAAAGGAACUUGGAAGAAACCUAGUCUUGGAUUCAGGUAAAUAUAAUGGAGUGUAACGUGGAGCCCCGGGUCCAAUGGACCUGUGGUUCCAUUCCUCCUAGCCCUGCUCUCCUGUCUUAAUUUGGACAUCAUGGAGAGCUCUCUCUCUCUCUGCAGUCAGCAAGAUUGCAAAGAGGAGGGAGAACUGGCUGUGUGAGCUUCCUUCUUGGCUGAAGGACAGCCCCAGCAGCCAAUAGCAGCCAGAGCGAGGGAGGAACUUCCUCCCUCAGUUUUGGUUGCUGAAGAAUGAGACUGUGGUUCCAUGUUCAGACGUAAUGCUGGCACUGCAGUACCGGAGGUACAGGCUGCAAAACUCACUACAAACUGAAGGUACAAAUCGGAAUCUGAGGAGGGAAACUGUGCAUCCAUUUUCUCUCUGAACUGCGGUUGUAUGCAUCCAGACAUACACAGAUUUUAAGCGGCGGUCCCUUCAACUCUGGUUUCGUGUAACGUGUGGAUGCAACCAGUAUCUAGCCUAGCCUUCAAUUACUUUUAAAUGGCUUUAAAUGGUUUUAAUUUUGGACAAUUUCAACAACAGUAAUUGCUUUAAUUAAUUGGCCGGUUGUUUCUAGAGCCAUCUGCGUUAGGCAAUAUAAAAUGUAAUAAUAAUAUUAAUAAUAUUAAUAUUAUCUAUACUGUAUAUUUAAUUCUCUAAGACAUACCCGUGGCUAAUCCCGAGUGUGACAGCUCUCGCAAGAGUUCGUGAGCAAAAGCACCUGAUUAGGCAGUGGGGAUUCCAUAUGCAGAUAGGGAGGAGGAGCCUGUGAGAGCAGAAGCACCAUGGUGAUUGGGCAGUGGGGAUUCCAUAUGCAGAUAGGGGGGAGGAGUCUGUGAUGGUUAAGGUCAGUUUGAAUGCAACUGUUACUGGUCGGAAGAUGUUCUUGAUUGUAGAGGAGAGGAAUCUCUCUAUAUAAAAGGAUAGUGGGCAGGCAGGGGUCUGAGAGGGGUCAGGGAGGAAGGAGCCCCUUGAGAAGAAGGAGGCUGCCGUUAAGUGAAAUAGAUAAGGUGAACAAGAUCUGUUAACUCAGGAAGGGACAGAGAAAGGAAGGAAGGAAAGGCAGACAGACAGAGGGGGAAAGCGAGUGGAGAAGAGAGAAAGAGAGGAGAAUGGAGAAAGAAGGAAGGGCAAUGGAUGGGCCUGAGCCUGUCAGCGGCCUGAGGGAGGCAGGCAGGCAAGAGACAAGCCCGGGCCUGUCAGCGGCCUGAGGGGAAUGAGUGGCAGUGACGGUGGCGGCAGCGAGGAAGGGCCCAGUCAAAUGCUGCUGCUGCUCCUGUGGGGAGGAGCAGAAGCAAGGCUCAGGUGAGGGUGAGGAGGUCUCUUGUAGCCAUGUAUGGUGUCCCUUGUCACAAUACCUGAACAGAGCUAGGUACAGAACUGUAUGCAGCAGCGCUCAUACCCCUGGACUUUUAAAAUCUAUUUAUUUGAUUGAUUGUUUGAUUGAUUCCUAUACCGCCCUUCAAAAAACGGCUCAAGACAUUUUUCACAGAGAAAUAACAAACAAAUAAGAGGGAUCCCUGUCCCCAAAGGGCUCACCAUCUAAAAAGAAACAUGAUGGACACCAGCAACAGUCAUUGGAGGUGUUGCUGGAGAUCUUGAAUCGACCAAACGGGGAUACAUUACUAACUUGGCACAGAGAUAUCACUCCAGAGAGGCACAAGGGGCCCCGGAUACAUGCGAUGGAAACGAAGGGGAAAAAUUAGGUCACACACGGCUGAAAUCAAUAAGGGACCUUCUUCACUGUCAGUUCAAGGGGAAGACUACUUUCCAUACUUGAACUCUGGAACCUCAGCCCACUUGCCCAAAGACCUAUCUGCAAGUUGUUGGCCCAGUGUUGAGGGUGGGAGGAGAAAGACCCGCAGCCAAAUGUUUUCCUCUGCAACCCUUCUGAAUUCCUGGCUCUCCAGAGUCCAUGCGCUGAGUCUCAGGGUAACACUAAUCUGUCAAUAUUCUUGAAUCAUUUGGUAAUAUCAGUGUUGCUGGCAUCUUUGUGAUGGUGCCAGAAUAUCCUAAGGUUAUGUAAAUCUAAGAGCUGAUAUAUGGAGGAACCUGCCAUAGGGCAGGGAGUUGGUCGUUUCACCCCUUAGAUUGAUUCUAUCAUUUAAGGAUUGAAAAAUGUAGACUAGACUUAAGCUGCAUUCACAUGAACUGAAGCAAUUAUGGUGAGAGCGUUCUGAUGGAUUGUUAUGAGGAGGGUGUGUCUUACUCCUGUCAUGUUCACUCGUAAGUCUUGGAAUUGUAUGUGUUGUGAAAAAUAUUUUUGAAGAAAACAGUACUCAGAGUGAUUCUGUGACUAGAGCCUUUUUUUGUUUUA